GGGCCUGGUCAACAGUGGUCCAGAAGCUGAGGCCUGGUUGGGGGUCAUCCAGCAGCUGAGGCCUGGUCAUCUGGGCCCAGCAUUUGGGGCCUGAUCAGCAGGGGUCAGAUCAGUGAGGCCUAGUCAGUGAGGUGUAGAUGUAGGGGCCUGGAUGGACGUGGAGGAAGACGCAGCUACCCUACUUGCGUAGCAGCAGUGGGCAUCAUUGCCCAGUGUGAGCAGUGCGACGUAGCUGCCACUCAUCAGCGCCCUGGAAGUAAAGAGAAGACGUCAGGAGAUGAGAGACACAGAAAAAUGGCUCCAGGUGCUUCUCAACUGGCAGUGAUAUAGGAGCAGCAAGGAGAGGAAGUAAUGACGCCCUCCUCCCAGACUUGCCCCAAAGUCCCCCGGAGCUUGGUGGUGUCCCGGGACGGUCCUCCCAGGAAAUAUUUUGAACAAGUUGCUGAAGUGCCUGAUGGACGUGGCUCUCGUCACGAAAUGAGUUUGGAUCCGAGAAGCCCUCUUCUUCAUCAGAAAUGGGGAAGGGUCUACAGAGGGGCCUGGAAUGGGGAGGUUUGGGGGC
rnacentral:lncRNA from 1 species